GAGCUGUGCGACUUUGCUCACCAUACAACUCUUGCAGGUGUGCCAAUAUUUCCCUAGCAGUCUUCAUACUUUCAUGCUGGCAUUGGAGUUCAUUAGACAUGGAUGCCAUCAUAUAGCAUUUUACUCUAAUGUCAUCAUCCAACCACUUUUUAUGCAACUCACGCUGAACAUCAGUAGGACGUGCUGGUAGUGUGGGGAUAUCUGAAUCGAGUAUGUAGCCUAUCUUCUCACAGUCAAAAACUAUUUUGAGAUUUCUAAGCCAGUCUUUGUAAUUGGUUCCGGUCAGUCGGUUGGUCUCAAGAAUACGGGUCAGAGGGUUUGAAGCCGACAUUGUAUCUGCAGAGAGUAGAGAUUCUAGUUAGACUUCUGUACUUGAUCCUAAUCUGUUCUAAGGUCUUUUAGAACAAAUGUAACUCCCACUAUUUUCUCGAAUCCCUCACACUCCUCUGGUAGGAAAACGAAAAUCCUACACGACUAGGGUUUCUAGUGGGUACUGCGGUCCCACCAAUUUACAUGCCACCUCAUCUAACAGUUAUUGGUGACACAUAGAUGGAUGAGUGUACAACUCUUGUACAAUGCUUCUCAAGCAUGUUGCAGUGU
rnacentral:lncRNA from 1 species